AGCAGCCGCGGUAAUUCCAGCUCCAAUAGCGUAUAUUAAAGUUGUUGCAGUUAAAAAGCUCGUAGUUGAAUUUUUGAUUCUUCCAAUUGGUCCAUCUUUUAGAUGAGUACUGGUUGUGUGGGGUCUAUCCGCCUGGUGAUACGUAAUGUCCUUUAUUGGGUGUUGCGGGUAGUCAGGACGUUUACCUUGAAAAAUUAGAGUGUUUAAAGCAGGCUUAUGCCGGAAUACAUUAGCAUGGAAUAAUAGAAUAGGACGAAGUUGUUUUAUUUUGUUGGUUUCUAGGACAACCGUAAUGAUUAAUAGGGAUAGUUGGGGGCAUUAGUAUUCAAUUGUCAGAGGUGAAAUUCUUGGAUUUAUUGAAGACUAACUAUUGCGAAAGCAUUUGCCAAGGAUGUUUUCAUUAAUCAAGAACGAAAGUUAGGGGAUCGAAGACGAUCAGAUACCGUCGUA
rnacentral:rRNA from 1 species